CAGGCAAUCUGCUAUAUCGGGGGUCGGCAACCUUUCAGAAGUGGUGGGACGAAUUUUCAUUUAUUCACUCUAAUUUAAGGUUUUGCGUGCCAGUAAUACAUUUUAACUUUUUUAGAAGGUCUCUUUCUACAAGUCUGUAAUAUAUA